rnacentral:siRNA from 1 species
CAACGCUACGAAAUUCAGUUUGGG